UUGACCUCAAAUCAGGUAAGAAUACCC
rnacentral:rRNA from 1 species